GAUGAACGCUGGCGGCGUGCUUAACACAUGCAAGUCGAACGAAGACAUCUGAGUGCUUGCACUUGGAUGGACUGAGUGGCGGACGGGUGAGUAACGCGUGGGUAACCUGCCUUAUACAGGGGGAUAACAGUUGGAAACGACUGCUAAUACCGCAUAAGCGCACGGUAUCGCAUGAUACAGUGUGAAAAACUCCGGUGGUAUAAGAUGGACCCGCGUCUGAUUAGCUUGUUGGUGAGGUAACGGCCCACCAAGGCGACGAUCAGUAGCCGGCCUGAGAGGGUGAACGGCCACAUUGGGACUGAGACACGGCCCAAACUCCUACGGGAGGCAGCAGUGGGGAAUAUUGCACAAUGGGGGAAACUCUGAUGCAGCGACGCCGCGUGAGCGAAGAAGUAUUUCGGUAUGUAAAAGCUCUGUCAGCAGGGAAGAUAAUGACGGUACCUGACCAAGAAGCCCCGGCUAACUACGUGCCAGCAGCCGA
rnacentral:rRNA from 1 species